UGCCAGACUCCUACGGGAGGCAGCAGUGAGGAAUAUUGGUCAAUGGGAGAGAUCCUGAACCAGCCAAGCCGCGUGAGGGAAGACGGCCCUAUGGGUUGUAAACCUCUUUUGUCGGAGAACAAAACCCGGGACGUGUCCCGGACUGCGUGUGUCCGAAGAAAAAGCAUCGGCUAACUCCGUGCCAGCAGCCGCGGUAAUACGGAGGAUGCGAGCGUUAUCCGGAUUUAUUGGGUUUAAAGGGUGCGUAGGCGGGAUGCCAAGUCAGCGGUAAAAAUGCGGUGCUCAACGCCGUCGAGCCGUUGAAACUGGCGUUCUUGAGUGGGCGAGAAGUAUGCGGAAUGCGUGGUGUAGCGGUGAAAUGCAUAGAUAUCGCGCAGAACUCCGAUUGCGAAGGCAGCAUGCCGGCUCCACACUGACGCUGAGGCACGAAAGCGUGGGUAUCGAACAGGAUUAGAUACCCCGGUACUG
rnacentral:rRNA from 1 species